GUCUCUGGCCAUAGCAGGCCAAAUGCACUUGAGAAGCAGGACUGCGCCUGGUUAGCACUUGGAUAGGAGACUUCCUGGUAAUACUGGGUGCUGUAGGCU
rnacentral:rRNA from 1 species